ensembl:lncRNA
UCCAGAUUAUCGCAGAGGGCAAGAAUGUCGGAUACAGAGACAAAGUUCAGUUAAACCAAAUCUUGAACUUCUCCAGAGUCCAGAUGUUGCUGUGUGUUACAGACCUGGUUUUGAGAGGUUGGCCAGCGUUACAAAGUGUUCCUUCAGAAAGGCUUCCUGGUCUGGAGUCUGGGGAACCAGUUGAGAGGUCAUGACAUCUGGUCCUCCUCCUGCUGCGCCUCCUCCGUCCUCGUCCUCCUCCAGCUCAGAGGAGUUUCCAUCCACACUGAGAGGCUCUGAGUCUACGAGGACGGAGACAGGUUAGGGGUGAGAGACAGACAAGAGAGGUCUGUCUGCCUCGCUUCAUCUGUCUGUCUCACCGUUUCCUGCAGGUUUGUCUCUCUGUAUCUGUCCAUGUCCUGCAGGUUUGUCUCUCUGUAUCUGUCUAUGUCCUGCAGGUUUGUCUCUCUGUAUCUGUCUAUGUCCUGCAGGUUUGUCUCUCUGUAUCUGUCUAUGUCCUGCAGGUUUGUCUCUCUGUAUCUGUCUAUGUCCUGCAGGUUUGUCUCUCUGUAUCUGUCUAUGUCCUGCAGGUUUGUCUCUCUGUAUCUGUCUUUGUCUCUCUGUAUCUGUCCAUGUCCUGCAGGUUUGUCUCUCUGUAUCUGUCUAUGUCCUGCAGCUGUGUCUCUCCUUAUCUGUCUGUCUCCCGGUGUCGGUCUCACCAUCUCCUGCAGGUCUCACUGGACUGGACAGCCUGGAGCUGAAUCCCAGUGAGCAGCCGCUGUCUGGACUGGGUUUGUCCUGAUGUUUGUCUGCAGCAGUAGGACACGCCUCCUUCACCUGGAACUCACUGACAGGAAGGGGCAGCGUUUAGAGGGGCGGCGUUCCAACAUCCUACAAGCAGAAUUUAUUCACCUGGGACAAACUACUUCCUAAAAUGGGACAUUGAACUCUGACCCUGUUUAUCAUAUUCAAUUAAUUGUCCUUAAAUCCUUUUGUAAGGAGACGGUGUAAAUAUAAACGACCUGAUGACCUGCUUGUGUUUCAAUCUCUUCUCUCCUCUUUUUCUGCUUCUGUCUCUGCUGCCAAAAGCUCUUUCUACCGAUCCAGAAUCCAAUCUUCAUUUUCUAACCCAAAAAAACUAUUUUCGAUAUUCUCCAACCUCCUCCAACCCCCUAGUCCUCCUCCCCCCUUCUUCUGGGUGACUGUCACUACUUUACCAAGAAAAUAGCUGACAUACGCUCCUCUUUCUCAAACCCACCUCCUAUUUCUUGCUUCCCACUGGCUUCACCUCUAUCGCCCUCACUUUCCUCUUUCACCCCCCUGUCUCCUAACCAAGUUCUUACCCUAGUAACCUCUGACCCUCCGACCACCUGCCCUCUUGACCCCAUUCCAUCACAUCUUCAACGGACGCACCUAUCGGGUAACCUGGAGAGGAUCUGUGUUGAACCUUGUCCUCUUACUACUGGAGUUCCUCAGGGUUCCGUCCUGGGUCCCCUCCUCUUCUCUCUCUACACCAACUCUCUCAUUCGCUCACUUGGCUUCUCCUACCACAGCGAUGCUGAUGACACCCAACUAAUUCUCUCCUUCCCUCACUCGGAUCUCUGCCUGUCUGACUGACAUCUCUCAGUGGAUCCGCCCACCAUCUGAAAAUCAACCCCGACAAGAUGGAACUACUUCUCUUUCCAGGAAAAGAUUCUCCUUCACAGGACCUGACUGUUAACUUUGGCGACUCCGUGUUAACGUCCACUUUGACUGCAGGAACCUCGGCGUGACGUCGACAGCCGACUCUCCCUGACUCCAACAUCACUGACAACACCCUGUAGAUACUCGCUCUACAACAUGAGGAGAACACGUCCUCUUCUCACUCAGAAGGUACUGAUUCAGGCUCUUGUCGUCUCCCUCCUGGACCACUGUAACUCUCUCCUGCAGGUCUCCUGCUACCUCCAUUCCACCUCUGCAGCUCAUCCAGAAUGCAGCAGCUCCACUGGUCUUUAACCUUCCUAAGUUCUCCCUCACUCCUCCACUCCUCCGCUCUCUCCACUGGUACCGGUGGCUCAUCCAGUUCUAAACAUGGUGCUCACGUACCAGGCUGUGAAUGGAUGGGGUCCAGCUUACAUCCAGGACCUGGUCCAACCCGACAUCCCGACCCGCACUCUCCGCUCUGCAUGUGAUAAACUGCUUGUUCCUCCUCACUGAGAGCAAAACACUCGACUAGAUCUCCACUCUUUGCUGUCCUGCUCCUAAAUGGUGGAAGGAGGUCUCUGAAGACAUCAGGACCACAGAGAGCCUUCACAUCUUCAGACUAAAGACACACCUCUUCAGACUCUACCUCCACUAACACACUAACUGUAGCACUUACAUUGGACUUAUAAUGGUUCUUAUCUACAGCAAGUUGUAAAUUGAAGAAAGGAUAUCUGAUUGUGGGUCAGAGUACAAUCAACAGACCUUCCUGCCAGGCUCACUCUGUCCUCCCAUUGGUCGGGAUACAGAACCACAGCCUCCCCGUCGGGGCUCUGAUUGGACAGCGGGAUGAAGUCUGGCCUCUGAUUGGUCCAUGUCUCCCCGUCCUCU